CUGCUGCCUUCCGUAGGAGUCUGGUCCGUGUCUCAGUACCAGUGUGGGGGACCUUCCUCUCAGAACCCCUACGCAUCGUCGCCUUGGUGGGCCGUUACCCCGCCAACUAGCUAAUGCGACGCAUGACCAUCCGUAGCCGGAAUCGCUUCCUUUAAACCCGAGGAGAUGCCUCCUCGGGUUGUUACGCGGUAUUAGACGGAAUUUCUUCCGCUUAUCCCCCUGCUACGGGCAGGUUUCAUACGUGUUACUCACCUGUGCCGGCCGUCCGGCCGGGNGGUA
rnacentral:rRNA from 1 species